rnacentral:rRNA from 1 species
AUGCAAGUCGAGCGGGGGAAGGUAGCUUGCUACCGGACCUAGCGGCGGACGGGUGAGUAAUGCUUAGGAAUCUGCCUAUUAGUGGGGGACAACAUCUCGAAAGGGAUGCUAAUACCGCAUACGUCCUACGGGAGAAAGCAGGGGAUCUUCGGACCUUGCGCUAAUAGAUGAGCCUAAGUCGGAUUAGCUAGUUGGUGGGGUAAAGGCCUACCAAGGCGACGAUCUGUAGCGGGUCUGAGAGGAUGAUCCGCCACACUGGGACUGAGACACGGCCCAGACUCCUACGGGAGGCAGCAGUGGGGAAUAUUGGACAAUGGGGGGAACCCUGAUCCAGCCAUGCCGCGUGUGUGAAGAAGGCCUUAUGGUUGUAAAGCACUUUAAGCGAGGAGGAGGCUACUUUAGUUAAUACCUAGAGAUAGUGGACGUUACUCGCAGAAUAAGCACCGGCUAACUCUGUGCCAGCAGCCGCGGUAAUACAGAGGGUGCGAGCGUUAAUCGGAUUUACUGGGCGUAAAGCGUGCGUAGGCGGCUUAUUAAGUCGGAUGUGAAAUCCCCGAGCUUAACUUGGGAAUUGCAUUCGAUACUGGUGAGCUAGAGUAUGGGAGAGGAUGGUAGAAUUCCAGGUGUAGCGGUGAAAUGCGUAGAGAUCUGGAGGAAUACCGAUGGCGAAGGCAGCCAUCUGGCCUAAUACUGACGCUGAGGUACGAAAGCAUGGGGAGCAAACAGGAUUAGAUACCCUGGUAGUCCAUGCCGUAAACGAUGUCUACUAGCCGUUGGGGCCUUUGAGGCUUUAGUGGCGCAGCUAACGCGAUAAGUAGA